AACGAACGCUGGCGGCAGGCUUAACACAUGCAAGUCGAACGCGUGUAGCAAUACACGAGUGGCGCACGGGUGAGUAACGCGUGGAUAUCUGCCUUUUGGUUCGGAAUAACUCCGGGAAACUGGAGCUAAUACCGGAUGGUUCCUACGGGAUAAAGAUUUAUCGCCAAAAAGAUGAGUCCGCGUACGAUUAGCUAGUUGGUGAGGUAAUGGCUCACCAAGGCGACGAUCGUUAGCUGGUCUGAGAGGACGAUCAGCCACACUGGGACUGAGACACGGCCCAGACUCCUACGGGAGGCAGCAGUGGGGAAUAUUGGACAAUGGGGCAACCCUGAUCCAGCCAUGCCGCGUGAGUGAUGAAGGCCUUCGGGUUGUAAA
rnacentral:rRNA from 1 species